rnacentral:misc_RNA from 1 species
UCGGCUGUCGUACAAAUGGAAAAUGCACUAGACGGCACAAUGGCUGAGAAGCGAGGAUUGCAAGAAGACGUUUACCUAGAAAAUGGUAGCAGUGAAAAGGAUACCAAGAAGAGGACGUGUUUAGAGAAAGUCUUGGCGAUACUUUUUGUGUUAGCUUUGAUUGUUAUCAUCGUACUGGCAGCAGUUCUUGCAGUAAAGAUGAAGUACAAAGGAGAAGAGGUAUGUCUGACGAAAGAAUGUUCGGAGGUUGCUGCACGUGUUAUCAGCUCGAUUGAUUACAGCGUGGAUCCAUGUGACAAUUUCUAUGAUUUCGCGUGCGGUUCGUGGAUGAAGAAGCACGUGGUACCUGAAGACAGGUCUAACCUUUACACUUAUGGUGUUGUGAGGGAAAAUGUAAAAGUUACAAUAAAAUAUUUACUCGAGGGUGAUUUAGAGAGUGAGGUCGAUGCGGUGAGAAAAGCUCGGUACUUUUACCAGUCCUGUAUGAACGAAACUCAAAUUGAACACCUGGACACGAAUGUGAUAACAGACGAACUUGAAUUAAUCGGCGGUUGGCCAGUAUUAGGUACCAAUCCUGGUGGUAACUGGGAUAGAUCUGACUUUGACCUAGUUUCUGACCUCAUGAAAAUAAGAGUUCAUGGUUUGUCACCAUUUUUCCAAGUUUACGUAGGUUUAGAUGAACGAGACAGUGGUAAACGAAUCAUCACGAUUGGAGAACCCACGUUAGGUUUGACAAGAGAAUACUACUUCGAUAAAGACCAGAAGAAGCUGCGAGAAGCUUACAUCAAAUAUAUAACCAAUAUUGCUGUACUUCUUGGAGCAGACAUUGACACGGCAAAGUCAGAUAUGGAAGCUGUGUUUGCAUUAGAUAAAUUACUAGCCAAUCUUACGUCUACAAAACUUGAACGGCGAAGUAGAGAUGAUGCAUACAACAAGAUGACUGUAGAAGAUUUAACACAACAAUAUUCUCCUCCUACAAGCGGACAUGUGAAGUUGAACUGGCACGACCUCAUACAGAAGGUAAUGGCUAUAUCCGAAGAAAACAUUACAAUAGAUGGCCUUGAACUUGUUAUAUUGGAAGCCCCGAAAUAUUACAAAGAAGUGUUCAAAAUUCUCGAACAACAAGAUACAAGAACCUUGAAAAACUAUAUGACUUGGUCAGUGGUUUCACGAUUUGUCAGACGAUUACCAAAACGCUUUGUCGAUGAAUAUGAAAAAUUUAGAAAGGUCCGGGACGGGACAACUGUUAAGGAAUCACGUUGGAAGAAAUGCUCACAUAGAACCGUGAGUACAUUUGGUAUGGCAGUUGGUCGACUGUUUGUCAGAGAAGCGUUCGACGAAGAAUCAAAAGAUAAGGCAUUAGAUAUGAUACACGAUAUAAGAGAAGCCUUCAACGAGCGUCUGAGUGAAUUAAGUUGGAUGGAUGAAGAGACAAGAGCCGUUGCUAAGGAUAAAGCGUUACACAUUCGAGAGAAAAUUGGAUAUGACGAUUUCAUACUAAAUGAUACAGCGCUGAAUGAUUAUUACAAAGACAUGGACGUGAAGGAGGAUGAAUACUUUGGCAACAUGCUCCGUAUCACAAAGGUGUGGAGUAGAAAUGCAUUGCAGUCUCUAAGAGAACCAUAUAAAAAAGAAGAUUCUAGAUGGGAAACUCCGCCCUCAAUCGUAAACGCCUACUAUACCCCUUUGUUAAACCUUAUCUCGUUCCCAGCCGGAAUGUUGCAGCCUCCCUAUUACAGUAAAUAUCAGCCUAGGAAGAAAAUAUGACAAGGAUGGCAACCGAAGACAGUGGUGGAGUGACGAAGCAAUUCAGAGAUUUACAAACGAAACAAAAUGCAUUAUAGAUCAGUACAACAAGUAUGUGAUGCCACUGGCAAAAUUAAAUUUAGACGGAGAGUAUACCCAGGGUGAGAACAUAGCGGACAACGGCGGAGUGCAGCAAAGUUAUAAG